UACGUAGGGUGCGAGCGUUGUCCGGAAUUAUUGGGCGUAAAGAGCUCGUAGGCGGCUUGUCGCGUCGGAUGUGAAAGCCCGGGGCUUAACUCCGGGUCUGCAUUCGAUACGGGCAGGCUAGAGUUCGGUAGGGGAGAUCGGAAUUCCUGGUGCAGCGGUGAAAUGCGCAGAUAUCAGGAGGAACACCGGUGGCGAAGGCGGAUCUCUGGGCCGAUACUGACGCUGAGGAGCGAAAGCGUGGGGAGCGAACAGG
rnacentral:rRNA from 1 species